UACGAAGGGAGCUAGCGUUGUUCGGAAUCACUGGGCGUAAAGCGCACGUAGGCGGAUGUGUCAGUCAGGGGUGAAAUCCCGGAGCUCAACUUCGGAACUGCCUUUGAUACAGCACGUCUUGAGUCCGAUAGAGGUGGGUGGAAUUCCUAGUGUAGAGGUGAAAUUCGUAGAUAUUCGGAAGAACACCAGUGGCGAAGGCGACUUACUGGACGAUUGUUGACGCUGAGGUGCGAAAGCGUGGGGAGCAAACAGG
rnacentral:rRNA from 1 species